ACAGAACUCAGAAAUCAUACUUAGUGAAGCCAAUGGGGUGAGUUGCCGUAAAAACAUAACCCUGUUUGUCCAACCAUACACGAACUUUACAAGAACCAGGAAGUGUGAUGUUAAGAGAUGUGAGCACUGUGGAGCCAAGCAUGAUGCACCAGCCCUGCUUUUGUGUUGAAAGACAAGUUUCUCCUCUGACCAGGUUAGAAAACUCUUCUUAAGCAGCUGUCUCCGAUACAGGUUGUCUGUCCAUUCUGACUGAGGAGAUUUGCCUGGGUGAGCCAGUCCUCUUCACAAUCUGACCCCAUGAGCCCAGCUCCCGAUAGCAGAGAUGCUUGGAGUUGUUCACCUAACCAUUCUGCGGUAAAGAUGCUGUAAAUAGACAGUUGUGCUCCUCCCUUAGGCCAACAGAUUCCUGAGAUGACGGAAGUCCAAGAAAUUGGAAUUUCCCCAGCAGUCUUAUGCUGGGAAAGAAGGGGCUGGCAGCCGUGUGCCUGCCAGAGUUUGUCUCCAGGAAAAAGAUUCUGCACAGAGUUUGCCGACGAGUCAGACGGACCACCUUGAAGGAGAGACUGGAGCCAAGACAAGGAUGACGGCA
rnacentral:lncRNA from 1 species